UACAGAGGUCUCAAGCGUUGUUCGGAUUCAUUGGGCGUAAAGGGUGCGUAGGUGGCGUGGUAAGUCGGGUGUGAAAUUUCGGAGCUUAACUCCGAAACUGCAUUCGAUACUGCUGUGCUUGAAGACUGGAGAGGAGACUGGAAUUUACGGUGUAGCAGUGAAAUGCGUAGAGAUCGUAAGGAAGACCAGUGGCGAAGGCGGGUCUCUGGACAGUUCCUGACACUGAGGCACGAAGGCCAGGGGAGCAAACGGG
rnacentral:rRNA from 1 species